UACGUAGGGUGCGAGCGUUAAUCGGAAUUACUGGGCGUAAAGUGUGCGCAGGCGGCUGAGCAAGUCGAGUGUGAAAGCCCCGAGCUUAACUUGGGAAUUGCGCUCGAAACUACUUGGCUCGAGUGUGGCAGAGGAAGGUGGAAUUCCACGUGUAGCGGUGAAAUGCGUAGAGAUGUGGAGGAACACCGAUGGCGAAGGCAGCCCCCUGGGCCAAUACUGACGCUCAUGCACGAAAGCGUGGGGAGCAAACAGG
rnacentral:rRNA from 1 species